ACGGGGUGCCUCCACAGCCAGAGAUCUCAGAAGGACGACAGCUGCCUCCUUGAGUCAGUAACACUACCGCCACUACUCUGCCACCACGAGCCACAGCAUGAGUGAGCCGCGGUGGUGGUACGAGGCAGACAGCUAUGUAAGAAAUAUGGCGGCUAUUGUGGAGGCCGGAAGUAAAACUAACACCACCACCAUCACUCUGAACACGGCAAGUCCCGUGACUCCCGACAUGUGCCAGGAAGUUCUGGUGUACCUCUACAGAAAGGAGAAAGCCAAGUGUCUGAGGUCUCAAACAGUAGAUACCAAAAACAAAUUAAAAAAAGUCAUCUCCUUGUUUCUUACUUGAAAAGAAAAAUGCUACGGAAGAGACAAUUCAGGUUUGGUGGUGCCUUGAAACUCCUUUGCAAGGUCAAGUGGCAGGAAAGUGGAAAUACAAAUGUAGGCAGAGUUGCCGUCUAGCAAUAAAGAAGAAAACGAAAGUCAAUUCUUCCAUUAGAGGUGAACAAAAAUAACAAUGAGUGAGUGGAACGUCUAAAGCAGCGGAAGGGAGGGAUGGAGAGAAAGAUGUAGGAAAAAGUUCAGAGGAACAGCCAUGAAGAUACACUGAUUACACUCCGAUAGAGAGAGAGAGAGAGAGAGAGAGAGAGAGAGAGAGAGAGAGAGAGAGAGAGAGAGAGAGAGAGAGAGACAGUCAGUAUGAAGGAUGGGAUGGAGCGUCCAUGAGGUCAAAAGCGUUUAACUAUCAUGUAUAGAGAAGCUCAGAAAUAUAUUAAAAAAUGGACCAAGAAUCAUUAGAACAGGAGACGGAAAAUGAUGUGUCAUUGAAGAGGAGGAUAUAAAUAACUAGUCUAGACUAUAGAGCAGCGG